ACAAACUUGGUCAUUUAGAGGAAGUAAAAGUCGUAACAAGGUUUCCGUAGGUGAACCUGCGGAAGGAUCAUUAUUGAUUCAAAGAGGGAUGUUGCUGGCGAAGAUUAACUUAUCUUUGCAUUUGUGCACUCCUUCAACCUCUAUCUUAACCCCUAUUUGUGCACAUUCCGUAGACUCUUUUGAGGACCUUUGAGUUCUUGAUUAAUUGGAGUCUAUGCAUUUUUACACACCAAACUCUAAAUUUAUUUGUUAUUGAAUUGUAAUCUAAUACAACUUUCAACAAUGGAUCUCUUGGUUCUCGCAUCGAUGAAGAACGCAGC
rnacentral:misc_RNA from 1 species